GGGUUCUGGACAGACCUACGCUGUCGGGGAGUGUUUACUUCGCCUCCACUUCUGUUCCUCCCCGCCCUGGUGCUGCUCCAGGUCACAUACUCUUCCUGAGCCGGCUUCAGCCUCUCCGCGCAGAAGUCUCCCGGAGCCAUGGCCUAGUAUUCUUAUGUGAAGUCUACCAAGCUUGUGCUCAAGGGAACCGAGGUGAAGAGCUGGGUCCUGCAGCUCCGGCGGGAGCCUCCUCAGUUCUUUUCGGACGCACUCCACCCCCGCGAAUCCGGUGGAAGCCGUGAUGCGGAGAGCCGGCUUCGUGGCCUCCCAGGCUUCGCUCUGACCCUGUCUGGGCUGGAUGGAGGCCGGACCGCCCUUCCUGGCGCCUGUGCAGAGAGGGGCAGCCUCCUGCGCGGACGACCCUGGAAACAGGAUAGACGGGCGGGUGACCCGUGACCCCGUACCCACGAGUUUGGGUCCCUUGAGGCAUCUCUCCAGGCCUCUGCCUGAUUUGCCUGAGGUUGACUGUACAUGCAAAUAUUGAGCUUUCCUCCUGGCCUCCGUGAUAAACAGAAGUUUUGAUAUUGUUAGGCGAGAUGGAAAGAAAGUAUCAAGGAGUGAGCUGAAGCCACUGCCCUUGAGAACCCUCUCGAGGAGUCUGGCCUCAUGAAGAUGCCAGAAUAAAUGGCAGUAAGAAGAAAAAGAGCAAAGAUAAGAAGAGAAAAAGAGAAGAUGAAGAAACCCAGCUUGAUAUGUUGCUUAUUUUGGGAGAGGCCAGCUGCCAUGUCAUGAAGACACUCAAGAAGCCCUGUGAAGAGGAAGCAAGGCCUGCCAACAACAGCCAGCACCAACUUUCCAGCCAAGGGAUUGAGCCAUCUCACAGUGGAUCCUCCAGCCCCCACCAAGCCUUCAUAUGACCAAACCAAUACCAACAUGUAACUGUGACCUCAUGUGAGUCCCCAAGCCAGAAUACCCAUCUCCUGUCUCAGAAAUGAUGAGAAAUAAUAAAUAUAUGUGCUCACACACAUUACCAUC
rnacentral:lncRNA from 1 species